rnacentral:rRNA from 1 species
GACGAACCGUCCAAACGUUAUUCGGAAUUACUGGGCUUAAAGGGUUCGUAGGCGGCCAACUAAGUCGGAUGUGAAAUCCCCAGGCUCAACUUGGGAACUGCAUCCGAUACUGGAUGGCUUGAAUUCGGGAGAGGGAUGCAGAAUUCCAGGUGUAGCGGUGAAAUGCGUAGAUAUCUGGAGGAAUACCGGUGGCGAAGGCGGCAUCCUGGACCGACAUUGACGCUGAGGAGCGAAAGCUAGGGGAGCAAACGGG